UUAAUUGAAGCCAAAGUAGAGGCAUUUCACUGUUAAUGAUUGUAAUGAAUUAUAAUUCCAAUUAAA
rnacentral:tRNA from 1 species